rnacentral:lncRNA from 1 species
CCACUUUGAAACCCCUUCUUCUCUUUAACUCUCUCGAACCUUCAUCAACCCUAAUCGUCUUCAACCUCAAAACCCACCGGAAACCAUGGUUUCUCCGGCUGUGGUAGUCUUAUACUCACCCUCUGUAACUCAUGUGGGCUCGAUACUUGAAGAAUCGAGGCCAGACCUUGAAGGUCUUCAUCCAGACCUUUAAGGUCUUCAUCCAGACAUUCGUCGGCUCAAGGUUCCACGGCCAUCUUCGGCCUUGCUCCGGCGUAUCCUGGUACUAUGAGCCUAUCUCUAACCUUUCCAACCAAGAUCGGACCUUUUCAAACCCUUUCUCAUUCUAGGGCUCUUCUGAAACCCUAACUAUUUGAGGUUUUCUCCGAUUUUUCUUAUUUUUCUUAUAUAUCUGUGCUCUACUUGAGUUUUUGAAUGAUUUCCUCAACUUUUCUUUCAAAAAUUACAUCUUUGCGAGUUAGGGUUUCCUGAAAAUGUUCAAAUGUUUCUUUGACUUUCUUUCCCUUAUCUAUGUGUGUAUUUUUCUCCGCUAUGUUCAUAUGUUUUCUUUUCUACCACGCAUGUUCUUCUACUGUGUUCUUAUGUUUUUCCUUUUAUCACGCAUGUUCCUCUAUUGUAUUUUCUAUAUUCUGGUCUUUCUUCUACUGUGUUUUCUACGCUAUGUUUUCACAUGCUUUCUAACUAUGUUCUACUAUUUUCCUUCCACUAUGAUCUGAUAUGCAUAACCAAUUGUUUCCUUCUGCCAUGUUCUUAAGUGUUUACUAUUUCACUUCUAUUUUACCUUGUCUUAAGAGAUCCAUUUAAUCAUGUGUUUCUUCUAUUAUCAUUGUGUUUCGAAUUAGUUCUUCACUCUAUUUACUUUGAACUUUCAACUGUAUUUGCUUGUUUUCUCAUGGGUUUCUGAAAGAAAUUACUUACUUCCUCGUCUCUAUUCUUGACUCGAGGUGGAAACCCUAGAAUUUGGGGGGUUCUGCCAAGGUUUGGUAAUGUGAUUGAACUAGGGAUCUGUUUGAGUACCCUUGACUCUUUCAGACUAAUCUCUACGUCUAUGAACUAAGUUUGAACUUCUUUGUUUGCAUACAAUUCUGAACUUUUUAAAUUCUUCUACGCUAGAUUCUUCUACUGAUUGGCACGCUAGUUCUUCGUGUUUAAGUAUGUCUAUAUGCUUUUAUAUGUAUGAUGAAUCUUUCUCCCAAAAGUUUUUCCAACUUAUAUUGGUUCAGAAUCCUCUUUUUUUAGGUCUGAUUGAUUGAUAUUGAAUUUUCUUAAGUAAAACCUUUCCUCACCUUUUCUGACUGGAUUCAUUCAUACCAAAUUCAAACCUUGUGAUUUAGUGACUGUUAAUUGGUCUCUUUCCUUAAAUUGCACAAAUCGUGUACUGUCCAAACCUUGUCCUUAAAUAAACCUUUAUAUAUUUACCCAUAUUAUUCUACCUUACACAAAGUGUUUGAUUAAUUUAGUUCUUUAAUUAGUUUUACUGUUUGAAAUCUGAACCCCUUUUUUAAAGGGAAAAGUUGUGUAAUUAAUUGACAAUUGAUUCUCAAACUAUUCUCUUACCUUAUUUCUGCUUUCCUUCUACAUUAUAAAAGUCACGACCUCUUUUUCAAAAAGACGCAAUAGAUUAAACACUUUUAUACUUUAGACUUCAUAUUUGCAAUCUUACAAUUCUCUUCUAAACUCAUUGUAUUUUGAUUGCUUGUUUGCACUGUGGUUUUACAAGACCACUGCCUUCUUCUUACUUGUUUCUUUAAGAUUGGUAUGUUCUAGUUUUUGUUUCAGGAUCAUCCCAAUGUGUUUACUUAUAGCCUUUAUAUCCAUGUCUAUUUUACUGUCUAUGUGCAGUUAAAUGUUUAACUAGCAUAUUAAUUUCUUUUUAGUUGUUUCUGUUGUGAAUCCAUGUACCCCUGUUUCCCUUUAUGUGCUUUGAGUUGUAGUUCAGAACAUGGCAAUAUGCAAGUUAUUUUUCAUGUUUGGACUUGAUCCUUUAGGGGAUCCUGACUCCCAAAAUAAUGUUUUUUAUCAGGCUUGUGGGGUGUGCCAACAUUUCUCAUUGCUAGGUAUGCCCACUAGCAUGUCCUUGCUCCUUUACCACUUCCCCUUUCCCUUUUUCAAAACUCUGCACUUAUAUUCUCCUCUAGUUUCUAAUUUCUACCCCUCUUGUGAGCCUUGCCUUGGGUCCUUGAGUUCUCUCUGAACUUGGACACUUGAGGGCUGGCCCUUCUAUGCUGCACUAUGUCCUAACCCUAUAAUGCAUUUGGGUGUGAGCACUGCCCGAAGUCCAUGUGAGGCUCUCAGGGAACUCAGACAUAUUCAAAUGAGAGAAAAGC